rnacentral:rRNA from 1 species
CUUGGUCAUUUAGAGGAAGUAAAAGUCGUAACAAGGUCUCCGUAGGUGAACCUGCGGAGGGAUCAUUACACAAAUAUGAAGGCGGGCUGGAACCUCUCGGGGUUACAGCCUUGCUGAAUUAUUCACCCUUGUCUUUUGCGUACUUCUUGUUUCCUUGGUGGGUUCGCCCACCACUAGGACAAACAUAAACCUUUUGUAAUUGCAAUCAGCGUCAGUAACAAAUUAAUAAUUACAACUUUCAACAACGGAUCUCUUGGUUCUGGCAUCGAUGAAGAACGCAGCGAAAUGCGAUAAGUAGUGUGAAUUGCAGAAUUCAGUGAAUCAUCGAAUCUUUGAACGCACAUUGCGCCCUUUGGUAUUCCAAAGGGCAUGCCUGUUCGAGCGUCAUUUGUACCCUCAAGCUUUGCUUGGUGUUGGGCGUCUUGUCUCUAGCUUUGCUGGAGACUCGCCUUAAAGUAAUUGGCAGCCGGCCUACUGGUUUCGGAGCGCAGCACAAGUCGCACUCUCUAUCAGCAAAGGUCUAGCAUCCAUUAAGCCUUUUUUUCAACUUUUGACCUCGGAUCAGGUAGGGAUACCCGCUGAACUUAAGCAUAUCAAUAAGCGG